GACGUAGGAUGCAAGCGUUGUCCGGAUUUAUUGGGCGUAAAGAGUUCGUAGGCGGUUCGUUAAGUCUGGUGUUAAAGAUCGGGGCUCAACCCUGGGAGUGCACUGGAUACUGGCGGACUUGAGUAUGGUAGAGGCGAGUGGAAUUCCCAGUGUAGCGGUGAAAUGCGUAGAUAUUGGGAAGAACACCGGUGGCGCAAGCGACUCGCUGGGCCAUUACUGACGCUGAGGAACGAAAGCUAGGGGAGCGAAUGGG
rnacentral:rRNA from 1 species